rnacentral:rRNA from 1 species
CAGCCGCCGCGGGAAUACAGAGGGUGCGAGCGUUAAUCGGAUUUACUGGGCGUAAAGCGUGCGUAGGCGGCUAAUUGAGUCGGAUGUGAAAUCCCCGAGCUUAACUUGGGAAUUGCAUUCGAUACUGGUUAGCUAGAGUGUGGGAGAGGAUGGUAGAAUUCCAGGUGUAGCGGUGAAAUGCGUAGAGAUCUGGAGGAAUACCGAUGGCGAAGGCAGCCAUCUGGCCUAAUACUGACGCUGAGGUACGAAAGCAUGGGGAGCAAACAGGAUUAGAUACCCGAGUAGUCCCUGUCUCUUAUAC